GUAGACGUUUGCUUCUUUUGAGUUUUUUCCUUCGCCGAUUUCGAAGCUCGGUCGCACCAGUACAGCACAAUUCCAACUAAAAGACCAAGCAUUUCAUAAAUUGAGAAUGCUUAGAUUUGGUAAUUUUCACGUUUAUUUUCCCUUUUUUUCUGUCUAUAUUUCUUAUGGGCUAUUUAGUCAUUACGUCCAACCGAUUGGUUAAUGAAUUGUACCCGGAACCGGUAAAGCCAGUUAACGAGAAUAUGUAAGCAAUUUUUGGCAAGUUGGUGAAUUUCACAAAUUCAUUUACCCAUAAUGCUGCUUUUAUCGUUAUUUAUGGAUAGUGAUUGCUGUACGUCUCUUUAUAUGUUUGAAAAGAAUACAAUAAAU